UACAGAGGGGGCAAGCGUUGUUCGGAAUUACUGGGCGUAAAGGGCGCGUAGGCGGCCUGCUAAGUCGAACGUGAAAUCCCCGGGCUCAACCCGGGAACUGCGUUCGAUACUGGUUGGCUUGAAUCCGGGAGAGGGAUGCGGAAUUCCAGGUGUAGCGGUGAAAUGCGUAGAUAUCUGGAGGAACAUCAGUGGCGAAGGCGGCUGCCUGGCCCAAUACUGACGCUGAGGUGCGAAAGCGUGGGGAGCAAACAGG
rnacentral:rRNA from 1 species